rnacentral:lncRNA from 1 species
UCCUCACGAGGCAACAGGUGCUGGCUGAUUGCGCCCUCUCCUCCGGUGCCUAACCGGCGCCUGUUUACAGCGCCACCUCCUUCUCCAGUGGGUGACGACGGCCAUCUCCAAGUUGAAACUAGUUCGGAAGAUGAAAGCAGUGAUGGAAGUUUGGAAUGGGACGAAGUAGACGACACAGCAUUGUAUCUGCUCGCUAGUGUUUCUGAGAUGGUCGCUAACGAUAGUGAUGGUGAUACAAGAAAUAAUGCUCUUCUUCCUGCGAGGAGAACUAGGAAGGACGUCAUCAUCCAUGGUGAAGGGACUUCACAAGAAGGUGGAGCUAGAAACUGCACAGGAGGUACACUCUAGAAUAUAGUGCUUAAAUAUUCGUAAUUACGCAAAUGAUCACAGUUACAUAUAUACUCCUCCUUUGUUCUUCACUACUAGGAGCUUCCCGGGGAGCCCGAUAAUUAAGCUGGAAACACCAAAGGAAAGAGAAAGGGGCAUACAGAUGUGUGUGUUAAAAUUCACUAUCAAUUUAUUAAAGGUUAUGAAGAAAAAUAUAUAUUGAUCCUUGGAUUGUCACAUAUUUUACGCAUACAAUCUCCCGGGGGAGUUUAUUACUUCAUGCAUCUUCUUAAGUGGGAUUAUAAAACGAAGUUUUAUUCUAAAAAAGAAAAACUUCCGGCGACCAUUGCGCUUGCGCACCUCCACCCCAGACGGGGUCCGUCCGCGGAUCCAUUGCCACACGAAGAUCCUGAUUUUUAAUGGCAGGUGGAUGGACCACACCGCCGUAAGGGGGGAGGGGCGGUGGAGGGGGCAAUGGCCUGGUAAAGAGACUUGGUGGAGAAUUGACCUGACGGCUCAAGACGCCACCUAACCUGAUACGGACCAGCAUCCACAACCAGCUCAUGGAGAGCGACGCAAUCAAGCAAAUCACGCCAGGCGGCAGAGUCCGGAGGCCCAAAUGGCCUCCAGAAUGCGAGGCGCCCUAAGUCAAUAAGGGCCCUCUCUACUGAGAUCGAAGGGUCGACAGCGAUGGAGAAGAGGUUAGGGAAGCGCGCAGCGAAGGGGGUGUCGCCCGCCCACCGGUCAAACCAGAACAAAGUCGCAGCCCCAGAUCCAACCGAGAUGGAGGUCCCAAUGCGGAGGACUGGGAGAAGUUGGACGACCGACUGCUAGAACUGGGAACCUCCAAAUCUCUGACAGAAGGCUAGGGGUUGCCCACGUAGGUACUUGUUACGGAUGAUGUCUAACCAGAAGCCACCGUGACCUUGCGAAAUGCGCCAGAGCCAGCGGGAUAAGAGGGCAAUAUUCAUGCGCUUAGAGCACAUGAUACCGAGGCCUCCUUGUUCCCGAGGCUUGCAAAUGUCAGGCCAGCUAACCAUAUGGUAUUUGUGCUUAUUGUUAUCGCAUGCCCAAUAGAAACGAGACUGGACUUUGGUGAUCUCAUGGUGCAGAAUAUCGUGCAGGCUGUAGAAGCUCAUAAGGAACAAGAGGAGGCUGGAGAGGGAGGAGUUGGUGAAUCGUCCGAGCCGCCUUCGACAGCCACCUACCCUGCCAUGGCUCUAUGCGCAUUUGCAACUUGGCCACGGUCGGACGCAAGUCAGCAACGGUAAGCCUAGAGUCACUAAUGGGCGUUCCCAAGUAUGUCGUGGGGAAGGAGCCCAGGCGGCAGUGAGCCGGUUGGCAAUGUCCAGGCACUCCGCCGGAGAGUAGCCCAUCACCAUCACAUCACUCUUGUCGAAGUUGAUCUUGAGGCCAGACAUUUGUUGGGAGUAGAGGAGAAGGAACUUAAGAUUAGAGAUGUCCGCCUCCGAGCCUUCAACCAUGAUGAUGGUGUCAUCAGCGUAUUGGAGAAGGGAGAUCCCGGAGCCACCGACUAGGUGGGGGGUGAUCCCACGAAUAUGGCCCGCAGCCUUAGCUUUGUCCAGGAUGGCGGCCAGCGUGUCCACCACCAUAUUGAACAAGAAUGGGGAGAAGGGGCCGCCUUGUCUAUCCCCACAAAGGGUGGUGAAGUAAGGACCGAUCUCCCCAUUGAUGUUCACGGCAAUGCGGCCGCAAGAAACCAUAUGCAUCACUCUGGUGAUCCACUGGUCGUCGAAGCCCUUCCGGAGCAGAACUUCCCAAAGGAAGGGCCAACUAACAAUGUCGUAAGCCUUAUGGAAAUCGAUCUUCAGGAAAACCGCCCUGAAGUGUUUAGAUCGGACCUCAUGGAGGACUUCAUGAAGCACUAGCACCCCAUCUACGAUAUACCGCCCUUGAAUGAAGGCGGAUUGGUUGGGGUGGGUAAUGUAGUCGGCAAGCAGGGUCACCUUAUUGGCGUACCCUUUUGCCAGAAUCCGGAAGAUCACAUUGAUAACCGUGAUCGAAACUGGCGAAUGUCGGAGGCCCCGGACACCUUGGGGAUGAGCGAAAUGAUCCCGUAGUUGAGGCGCCCGAGGUCGAUGGACCCAACGUAGAACUCGUCGAAGAUGACCAUGAUCUCAGGCUUAAUCACAUUCCAAAAGGUCUGGAAGAAUUUAACCGGGAGGCCAUCCGGGCCUGGGGCCGAGGUAGGGUUCAUGCCUCUAAUGGCCGCCCAGACCUCGCCCUCGGAGAAGGGGGCCGUAAGGGCCGCGUUCUCCGCAUCGGAAACUAGCUGGAGGCCGGUCCAACAAUCAGGAGCCAGAGAAAAGGCCGCUCCUAGGAGCGGCGAAGAACAGGGACCUGUAGAACCCGUCGACAUGGGCUCGAAUGUCACUGAGAGACUGCAGGAGGGUCGCGCCAUCCCAGAGAAGGGGGGUGGUGUUGCGUCUACGGCGGCCAUUGGCAAUGGCCUGAAAGUAUAAGAAUCCUGCAUAUCCAUCAAACUUAAAAGUAAUCAAAUGGGAUCUUGCAGAGAGAACAUCGGCGCUUCUGUCCUCGCCUAAUUAGUUCAUCGUUGGAGGUUCCAUGUUAGUGGCAGAGUAGUGCUCGCCUGGUCGAUCUAGUGGGAGUUCUACAUUGUUUAUUUAAAGAUGCAUAAAUGACUGAAACUCAAGGAAAUUAGGUAACUUGUGUAUGCUGGGAAAAGCAGCCCUCACACACAUGAGUGAUGCUCAAUAAAACCCAUUUUCAGGCAAAAUAACUCACUUCACUGAGCAUUUUUUUAAACAUGAUUUAGCAUGUGCAUACUUUUUUGGAGUUAACGGGCAGCUCGUACAAACUAGAGUUUUGUUUAUUUUAUAUUAUGAGAAGUACAUUUGUUGUUUGUGGUUGUUAAUUAAUAACAAAAUGAUAGAUCGAUAUUAAUAAGGAGAUAUAAUAUAUAUACAUGAUUCUGAGUAUUACGUUCGCACAUACUUUUUCUGUGAAAACCUCUGCACAUACUUUUUAUCAAGUAAUCUGCACCAAGUAGAAACAUAUAUCUCGUUGCAGUGUCGUGUACACAAUAUUGUAUGUCACAUUUUUUUGUUGGUCCCUAAGUAAAAUUAUCAUCAUUAUUGUUCCCUAGAAACUUUGCAUUAAUGUUUUGUGCCAAUUAAAUUCUUAAAAUGAUUUUUCUGGACAUAUUAUGCUAAUUUAUUUGAUGGUUUCUAUAUUAUCACAUGUUCCGUAGUGGGAUUAUUUUCUGUUUUGAGUGUGGGAUUAUGUUCUCUUGGUAUCAUAAAAGCCUUGCCUGAUUGAACCGGGCGUGCCCCUUUCCAUUAAAAUAAACGGAAAUACAACAGUCUCCGAUACAGCCAGGAAGCAAGGAAAGAGGAGCAGCGAGUUCAACGCACUGCCAGGAAACCCACUGUACUCGCCCGCCAUCGAAACGAGCACCAUGGGACGAAAACCUGACAGCACCUACUUAGUUUGAGUCUAGCUAUUACAAACCAGGGGGAAAGGCACAAACACGAGGUGCCAGAAGAACAUAAAGCAUGUAGACUUUCAAAAGUUACCCAAACGUGGAGCCUGAGACUUAGACCCUAGCACAACGCCCCCUAUCACAACCAGGGCAGAAUGUAGAGCACAUCAGCAGCAUCAUCCAGAGAACACCUCACCCUCGUCUCCCGUCGCGCGCCUGGCCCCUUCACACAUGGCCAUCAACUUGGUUGUGCUCGCUCUAAUCAUCUCAGCUCCGAGUCGCAAUCUUGCCACUUCUUCCACCGGCUGAAGACCUGCCCAAUACAAGAGAAACGAACAAGCCGAAUACACAAUCUCAAAAGGAGAUUUGAUCAAUUGUUUUUCAAAAGUAGCCUUAUUACACGCAAGCCAAAUAGCCCAAGUUACUGCCGCCAAACCAACAGUAUAAAAUCUAGAUUCAUUGGGUAGGAACAUAUUACACCACACAUAGAAUUGCCAGGUGUUAUUCGGGCAUAAUUCAGUCCCCAACACAACUCCAACUGUCCUCCAGACAACACGCGCCACAGGACACGUAAAGAACAGGUGGGACGCAGUUUCAAUAUUGUUACAGAAGGAACACACAGGGUUCCCCGGCCAUUUUUUCCUCCUCAUCACCGCUCUAGUGAGCACCGCAUCUUGAGCCAUCUGCCACAAGAAAAUCUGUAUCUUAAGAGGUAGUUUCGCCUCCCAGAUCCAUCUAUAGUUGCUUCCGUGAAGAGGUUUUUCCAGCCAAUUAUACAUAGAUUUAGUGGAGUACUUAGCAUUCUUACUCAAACCCCAAAACACUACAUCUUCCUCGGAUGUAGUCUUAAGCCCCAAGAUGUACUGUCGUACCCUAUCCCACUGUUCUUUAAGAUUAGGGCAUAGACGCCUUCUAAAAAAGGUCGAAGUCUCUACCCUGUUAAAGUUUUGGACCGUACAAUCCUGAUCUGUACAGAUUUCAAACAGCCGAGGGAACCUCGAAUUGAGUGGGGGCAGCCCCUCAAUUGAGUCUUUCCACACCCUGCUCAGGUUGCCGCAUCCUAGUUUAAUCUUUCUCCCCAUCAUGUACAACUCCCUGACUUUCAGAAGAGAUUUCCAGCAUGGGGAGUCAGAUUGUCUAGGUUGCACAGUGUCACAUCCCUAGCUCCUGGCAUUGCACUAGGCUAGCUUCAUGUGUGCAGCAUGUUUAAAUUUGCCUAAACUUGAAAUGGGGAUGUUCAAACCCUAGCACCAAAUGAAAUCCAACUAGGAUCACAAAGAAAUAUUUUAAAUGAACCCAAAAUGCCCUUUGGAAAUGUUCAUCAUUUCUGAUAAAGGUAAAAACCUCUGCCAAAAGUGAUGAACAUAUUUCUAGGUCAUUUAUGGAUUUUUGAAUUAACUCGUGUUGUAUUUGAAUUGGGGCAUUUAAAUCCUAUAAAUAAUUUAAAUGCUCUAAUAAUUCUGAAACUAGUUGAGGGCUGUUGGGAAUAAUUUCAAUAGUGCCCACAAAUAUUUUCAGGAUUUUUGAAAAUGCUCUGGCAUUUUUAAUAAAGCAGAAAUAAUUGCAGAAAGUAGAAAACAGAAACAUUAGAAAGGAGAGGGAGCCACCUCCCCUGUCGUCUUCCUCCUUUGCCAGGAGGAUGGGCGCGUGGCCGACGCACGCACGCGCGCCCCGGCCACCUCCUGCUUCGCCGUGUCGACGCCUCCUUCCUCCCAACCCCGCGCCAGGAGACGUGGACGAGGCCGUGCUGACCCCCCUCCCCCUUCUCCCCUGGCCAUUUUCCCCUCUCCCUCCUCGUUCUUCGCCCGAACAGAGAGCCGUCGCUGCCGUUCACCGUACCCAAGGCCACCGACCACCCCUCGCCCUGCCUCUGAGCCUAGAAGCUCCGCCGCGUCUGCCUUGCCCUCUCCACCGAGCUACGCGACGCCGGAGGCCUUGCUUCAUCGCCACCGUCGUCGUCUUCACCGACGGGCACCGAAGAUCGCCGGCUCCGAUUCACCGUCUCCAGGCCGCCCCCGAGCCCACUGACCUGCUCUACGAGUCCACCGUGAGAUCCCCUUGCUUCUCCCCUCUCCCCUAACUCCCGCGCAAGCUCUAGCCCCACCGCCACCGUGCCCGUGAGCUUCACAUCGCCGGCGAUGUCGCCGCUAUCAUCCUAGCCACCAGAGCUUGCGUCUGAGCGCUUCGUCGUGCUCAGAGCAUCUCCAGGAACCCGUAUCACUCGCUGGUUCGCCUCCCAUGCACCGUAGCCUCGUCCCCGAGGUCGACCGAACUCCGGCGGCCGCAACCGAGCUCGCCGCCGUCGACUCCGGCCACCCCAGGCCCAGCCACGGCCACCACCCGAUGCGCCAUCGAGUUAGCUUUCCAACGCGCCUAGCCACGCGUCAUUUGGAGCACUACAGAGGAUGGCACAAGUACGCCGCGGACCUCGUCGGCGACUAACCGCCGGCGGGUUUGACUCUUUGACCAGGGGUUUGACCUCCCCUGCGUCACUAAUGUGUGGGCCCGGACCCUGCUAACUUCUGGUUAAGUUAAUAACUAAAUCUAGUUUAGCCACUGACUCACUGACAUACGGGCCCCGCUCGGCUAAUUAAACUAGAUUAGGUUUAAUCUAUAUUAGGAUUAGCUACAAUCAUUGACGUGUGGGUCCCAGCCGUCAGGUUUGACCUGGGCUGGCGCCUUUGACCUGCUGACGUCACCCCGACAUCAUGCUGACGUAGUUAACCUUUUUCUGGAUUUAUUCUUAUACAGGAAAUUCCAGAAAAUACUACAAACUCCAAAAAUUCAUAGAAAUUAAUCUGUAACUCCAAAUGAAACAAAUUAUAUAUGAAAAAUUAUCAGAAAAAUGCAAUCUAUCCAUCUGUAUCAUUUUCAUGCAUGUCAAACUAAGUUAUACCUGCUGUAUAGGUGAAAACAUGAUAAUGACAUUUUAAAUGCUAAAUGUGGAGUUUGCAUAUGAACCCUUAGUUCAUAUGGACUUCAUUUAAACUGUUGUUAGAUGCAUUAAUGUAAAUCAUAACAUUCUUGACAUGUCACGACCAUGCAUCAUAUUGUUGCAUUGCAUUGAUUGUGUUUCCUCUCUGUUGCCGGUAAUUGUCCCCUCUCGAUAGCCGUGAUUCCGACGAUGAGCUCGAUGACACCGAUGAGAACUAUAAUAUCUUCAGAAGUGCCAGGUAAGCAAACCCCCUUGUUCAUUCCGAUACAAUCCCACUCUCUCGCUCCUGCUCUCUUUUACUGCAUUAGGACAACAAUGAUUCAUCUGUUACUUGUUGCGGUAGUUGAACCCCUUAUCCUCUGCAUGACCUGUCAUUGCCACAGUAAAUAGAUGAAACCCACUAGCAUGAGUAGGAGUUGUUUGAGCCCUGAUGUGCCUACUCAUUCAUGCUUGUUUGUCAUGCCUGCUACUGCUUAGAGUUGAGUCGGGUCUGAUUCAUCGGGGAUGAGUUGGAAUGGUGAUGAACAUGUCCUACUGUCUGUGAGCUAAGUGUGUGAACAUGAUUUGGUAAAGGUAGCGGUGAGAGGCCAUGUAGGAGUACAUGGUGGGUUGUCUCAUUGCAGCCGUCCUCAGGAACUGAGUUCUGUGUUUGUGAUCCAUGAAACAGUUACUACCACGCAUUGGGCCCGAAACCAAUGGACCCUCUCGGCUUCUUAAUCACCCUUGUCCUCUGUCCAGGAGUUGCAAGUAGUUUCUGGUGUUUGUAGUAUGCUGGAGGCCGUGGACAGCGCUGACCGGAGGGGUGGGCUGUGAUGCGGUAGGCACGUGGCACGGUGUACCGGGCGCCUGUUUGGUGUCUCGGGAACCCUGCACACAUCGUUCGGGGCCGUAUGUGGAAACCUCGGCCGGACUCCCUGCGGAUGGAACCUGAAUAGGCGAUAAACCUGGACUAGAGACUUGAGUGUUUAGGUAGGCUGUGGCCGACACCCUCGCUGGGCUUCCGCUUGAAGGUUGCCGAGUACAUGCUGUGUAAACGGCGGUAAGUGGUGAGAGCGUGUGUGACGAAGUACACCCCUGCGGGGUUAACAUGAUCUAUUCGAAUAGCCGUGUCCGCGGUAAAGGACUUCUGGGUUGCCUAUAACAGUUCAUAGACAAGUGAAAGUGGAUACUCUAAAAUGCGCAAGAUAAGCGUGAGUGAUAUGGAUGGCGUUCUCGUAGGGAGACGGGAGCAGAUCCAUAGUGGAGUAUUGAUAUGGUGAAUAUGUGGACUCGUGUGCGCCACCUCAAAAGAGUUACUUGCAGUCGUAGUUAGGAUAGCCACCGAGUCAAAGCUGGCUUGCUGCAGUUAAACUCCACCACCCCCUUUGUUGAUACCGAUGCAUAUGUAGAUAGUUCUGAUGUAAGUCUUGCUGGGUACAUUUGUACUCAUGUUUGCUUAUUUUAUGUUUUGCAGAGAGACAUCAGUCUCGCUAGUAGUUUCGUGUGGACUUCGACGUUUAGCUUGAUACCUCAGCUACGAUCUUGUGCCCUCGGCAGGAUCUAGUAAAUAGUUAGGUUCUCAGCCUUUUUCAUUUGUAGAUGUCUGUACUCAGACAUGUUAAGCUUCCGCAUGUGUUUGACUUGUAUGCUCUGAAUGUUGGGUCAUAAGACCCAUGUUUGUAAUAUCUCGCUCCUCGGAACCUAAUGAAUAAAUACUUGAGUCGUAGAGUUAUGUUGUGAUGCCAUGUUGUAUUUACACAUAUCGAGCAUAUUGCGUGUAUGAUUGAAAUGCUUGGUAUGUGUUGGAUCCGACAACCUAGUUGUUUAUCCUUGGUAGCCUCUCUUAUGGGGAAAUGUAGUCUUGUGCUUCCAUGAGCCAUAGUAGUCUGCUACAGCCCGGUUCCCCGGAGUCCUGCUAGCCCAGCACUACUGCUCCGGAACACUUGACUGGCCGGCAUGUGUUUCACUUCGUUCCUGUGUCUGUCCCUUCGGGGAAAUGUCACGCGGUGACAUCCGGAGUCCUGCCUAGCCUGCUACAGCCCGGGUUCCCGGAGUCCUGUUAGCCCAGUGCUACAGCCCGGAUUCGCACGCUGCUGACCGACAUGCUCGAUGUUGAUUCAUGUAUGCCUGUCCCCGUAAGUUAGUGCCACUUUGGGUUCACGACUAGUCAUGUCGGCCCGGGUUCUCUGUCAUAUGGAUGCUAGCGACAUUAUCAUAUACGUGAGCCAAAAGGCGCAAACGGUCCCGGGCCAUGGUAAGGCGACACCCGUGGGAAUACCGUGCGUGAGGCCGCAAAGUGAUAUGAGGUGUUACAGGCUAGAUCGGUGUGACUUAGAAUCGGGGUCCUGACACACAGUUGCCACCGACUUGUUUUGUAAAUAUCUGGCUCUCACCAAGUUUUGCCAAACCCCAAUUUGGGUUUCUAAUUUCGACCACCAUUUUACCAUCAGGCUGAUGUUUUGUUUCCUGAGAUCUUUGACGCCCAGACCCCCUUUGCCCUUCAAUCUACACACCCUCUUCCAUUUGACCAGGUAAUAUCUAUUCUUCUUAUUGCACCCGUGCCAGAAAAAUUUACGACGGUGCUUGUCCAGCCUUUCUAUGAAAGUUUUACUCAUAAGCCACAUGGACAUAUGAUAUAAAGAUAGCAGCGACAGAACCGAGGUAAGCAAAGUAAGUCUGCCCCCGCUGGAUGCAGCAUUACCAAUCCAGGACCCGAAACACUUAAGGUAUUUAUCUACAAUAAAUUCCCACACUGAAUCUUUAAGGGUUGUGAAACUCACAGGCAUACCAAGAUAUUUAAUUGGAAAGUGCCCAAUCUCGCAGUUAAAGAUCUCGGCAUACUUGCUAUCAAUGUCAGUGUCCCCUCCGAUAGUCAUGAUCUCGCUCUUCUGGAAGUUUACUUUCAGUCCAGACAUGAGUUCGAACAUGUAUAAGAGGAGCUUUAGAUUUAAUGCUUUCUCCACAUCAUGCUCGAGGCAAAUGAUCGUGUCAUCUGCGUAUUGCAGAACUGCCACCCCAUUCGGGACAAGAUCAGAUGCUAGUCCAGUUAGGAGGCCAUUCUGCUGCGCUUUACAGAUCAUCUUGUUGAGGCAUUCUACAGCUAGGUUGAACAAAAAGGGGGAGUGGGGGUCUCCUUGGCGCACCCCUUUGGCACUCUGAAAAUAUGGGCCCACUGAGUUGUUAAGCUUGAUACUAACAGUACCAUUGUAUAGGAUUUGAUUCACCCACCCACACCAGGUUUCAUUGAAGCCCCUCAUUCUGUGGCAAUCCAAUAGAAACUCCCAGUUAACCUUGUCGUAUGCUUUCUCGAAGUCGAGCUUAAGCACCACCCCUACUUUUUUCUUGACAUGGGUGUAAUUGAGGAGCUCAUGUAAAGUCAUGAUCCCAUCCAUAAUAUUCCUCCCUUUUACAAAAGCAUUUUGUGACAAGCUUAUCAGUUUAUCAGCAUAUUUUUCUACUCUCCGAUCCAUAGUCUUAGUAAUCAGUUUAUAUGGGCACCUAAGGAGACAAAUAGGCGAAAUUGCUGAAUACGAUCCGCACCUGACACUUUAGGGAGAAGAGUAAUCACCCCAUAAUUAAGGCGCUGCACGUCAAGCAUUCCAGCAUGGAAGUGGCUGAACAGCCGCAUAAUGUCACUUUUGACAAUGUCCAAGCAAUGUUGAUAAAACUCCGCAGGAAUAUUACCAGGGCCAGGUGCUCUAUUGACAUCCAUUGCAAACAAGGCCUCUUUCACCUCCUCUUCUGAGAAGAUUCUAGUCAGAUCAAUAUUAUCCUUGUGAGUAAGUUUUUCUGAUUCAUCCCACGAGCCAGGGUCCAUGUGAAACAAGUUGCCCGGGGCUGGGCCGAAUAGGGUUUUAUAGAACUCUGUGGCAUGUGAGAUAAGGUUAUCAGUACCUUCUAUCUCAACAUCACCAUACUUGAGGGCAUGAAUGGUAUUCUUCCUUUUUCUCCCAUUUGCAAUUUUAUGAAAGUAAUCUGUGUUCAAAUCCCCUUUGAGCAGCCAACGCUCAUGAGAUUGUUGCAGCCAGAAAAUCUCCUCAUUCACCAGAAUCUCAUGAAGCUCAAAAUUAAUAUCCACCUUUCUACUAUACAUCUCAGGGGUCAGAGGUCCCUCCUCCUCAAGCUCCUCAAGAGUGGACAAUUCUACUCUUAAUUCUUCUUUUCUUUUCUUGGUAUGGCCGUACUUAUUGGACCCCCACCCUUUGAAGAAGGUUUUAAACCUUUUUAGUUUGAUAUUAAGAAUAUCAAUAGGAUCUUCAUCUUUAACCGCUUUAUUCCAGAUUUUCUCCACUAAGGGUAGAAAGUCCUCAUUUUUAAACCAGGCCAGAUCAAACCUGAACUCUCUAGGUUUAUGUGCCUCCCUACCGAUAUCUCCUGAGGAAAGGAGUAGGGGGUUAUGGUCAGAUAACUCUCUGACCAGCUUUCUAACAGUUACCAAAGGGUAUAAGUUUUCCCAGUCGCUAGACAUCAAAAUCCUGUCUAGCUUUUCCAAAGUGGGGUGGGUCUGGUUAUUUGUCCAAGUAUAUUUCCCUCCACUACAAUAAAUCUCCCUCAGGCCAUAUGCAUUAAUGACAGAAUUGAACAUGUCCAUAGAUUUAUGUCCAUGUAAUUUUUUAUUCUUCUCACCACCAUGCCUCAAGAUGUUAAAGUCUCCCCCAACUAUGUAGGGUUUGUUCAUAUUAGAACAGAAUUGAGCAAGUUCCAGCAGGAACUCCUCCCUCAUCUCCUCAUGAGCUGGGCCAUACACAACUAGAAUACUCCAUUCAGAUUUAUUCCUCCUAUCUAUUAGAUCAAGUUGGAUCAUGAACUUUCCUUUCUUGUUAGAACUCAAGUCUAAAAUGUCUUUUCUAGCCCCUGCAAUGAUACCACCUGAUUUGCCACAUGAGGGGAUCCAGACCCACUCAAAGAUACUAAAAGGGUCAAUUUUUCUCAAGCAUUUAGGGGAGAAGUUUUUCUUCAUGGUUUCCUGUAGACCCAGGAAAUCAAGGGAAUGAUCACUUAUUAAAUCAGAGAGGCACAUUCCUUUCUUGCCCACCCCUCUGCAGUUCCAAAUGAGACCUCUCAUUUGGAACGGUUUUUUGUUUUUUGGACCUGGUAACCCUGCCAGGGGCCAGGGCAGGAUUACCACUAUCAAUGUUUUCUACUGUCAUUUUCUUUUGGCUUCUAGUCACAGGCCUAGAUAGCUUGACAACAGACUUAUUUUUUUUUCUACUCCCAUUUUUAUAAGAACAGAAAUCUUCACUACAAUACUCAUCUUGUUCUAACCAAGAUAAGCUGAGAGGGGCUUGUUUUCCCAGUCCAUUUGUGACCACCACGUCAUCCUCUUUCUCAUGUUUUCUAUUAAUGCCAUCCUGUUUACUCAACAGAUUUCCUCUAACAUCCUCUAACUCAUGAAGAAUAUCAAUACAAGUAAAGUGAUCAUCUAGAAUUAGAACCCCCAUUUUAUUAGCUCUACUUAUUAGCUCAGCAUCCCCCAAAGCAGCAAAAGAAUUUUUUCUAGGGUUUUGAUAUUUACUUUCCAGAUUUUUCUUCUUGGCCACUUCCAUAGCUUUUUGCAUCAUGUCUCCCUGCCUCUCCUAACCACAUCGAAGACUAAACCUCAGGUUAGUCUCAGGGAUCAAUGGAGGUGUGGGAAUUAUCUCAUUGUCACAAUCAGGCGAUGGCAGGUGUACCAGAUAAUCAUCUGAUACCUUCAGCUUAGGAUCCACCUCUCCUGUCACUUCUGAGACCUGCGAAACACCAGUUACUACCUCCACAUAUGAGCAUUUCUUCUCAAUCAAAGGAAGUACAUUCACCUGCAGUGUUUGCACACCAGUGCUCUUGUCAGGUGUUUUUUCCUCAUGAUCAGCGAUUUUUCCUCCAUCUGAUUUCUCUUCAUAGCCCUCUUGAGCAGAAUUCUCAUUGGCCAGCUUCUCAAUAAAUAAAGUUUUAUCAUCAUCACUUUCAUAAGAGUCUGACAAGUUGUCCUCCUCAUUUUCCUUCUCUUUUUCAAGAGGGAGCAGGCGACAGGCCUUCCCUCCCCUGAAGGAAGAUGUACCAUGCUCAGCAGGAGCAUGAACACUCUUAGAUGGCUCAGUUCCCCCGUCCUGCCUCUUCCUCUUCGGAGUGGACAGCAGGGAUUCUUUCUGAUCAUUUCUAACAGGCACAGAAUCAUCUUCCUUCACCGGGUUUCUCACCAGAACUUCCUCUACUUCAUAUAGGAAUUUGUAAAAACGGCCCCCCAUGCAACCCUCUGCAGAAACAGGAAGAUUAUCAAUACUGCAACAUCCAAUCUUAACCCGAACAGACGAGGGGUGUUUGAUAGUAGACAUAUCUAUCUCUAACGUCACCCCAACAAGCCCACCAGCAUAAGCCACAUUCUUGUCACAUCUUUUAUUAAGAGGUAUCUUACUAAUUUUCACCCAGGCAAUCUCAAGUAGACCCUCACAAUCCAUGUCAUCAGACCAUGGUGUGAUUCUGACCACAGUUUGGUGCUUUUUGAGGUUUAUGUAUUCCACAAACAAAGCAUGUUCAACCUCUCUCACGUUAGGUAACCUCAUAACAUAUUUGUUAGGGGCCACGAGAUGUGCGGAACAUCUCCAGCCCUGCCCAAUGUACACCCCCAUAUCAUCCUGCAGAUCUUGUUUAGUUAUGGUCCCUUCUACAAUGGUAAUGAGCACAUUGGUGUUCUCUCUCUGCGGUUGUCUCUCUACACUAAAAUCAGGAAAGUAGCAGAAACCCUGCCCCUUGGAUUGAAAGCCACACAUAGCAGGAAUACAUUCCCAAGGAAGAAAUUCAGCGCAAAUAAUCGACAAGUGAUCUCUCUUCUUGCAUCGCUCACAGAGAGCCUGGGGGCAUCUAGCCGUGUAAUGACCAAAAGCAUUGCAGAUCUGACAUGCAUCAGGAGUAGGGUUAGGGUUACCGGCGGGGGUGCUUGGGUCUCGCCCCGCAGCAGGCGCAGGCGUUUUCCCUUGCAGCCGUCGAGUGUUCUGGUCCCCGCCGUCGCCGUCGACAGCAGAGGACCAGCGGUCCAGGCGCGGUGGCCCAGAUCCUCCCGCACCCGCCGCGACUUCCCACUUGUCGAAGCUCGUGUCGCCGGAGUCCGACACCCUGGUGGUCGAGGACUGCCCCACGUCCUCCUUGCGCUUCCACACGUUGUUGUCCCGUCCACGGCCACCGCCGCGGUCGAACCGUCCCGCCCCGCGGCCAUGCCUGCCAGCGCCAAAGCCAUCCCCCCUCAUCUCUCCGCUUCCGUGACCUUGCUUCGGAUCUGGAUCUUUGGGUGGAGGUGGGGUAGCGCCGAUCUGAGCAAAGGAUCUAGUGUCGCCUCGGAUCUUACCCUCCCACCAAGAGAAGGAGGGAGGAACCCUAAUAUCUCUCCUCUGCGGCGCCUCCCAGAGAUGGAGCAGGCACUCGUCGAGAUCUGAAAAAUCGGGGUGAGAGCGAGGCAGCGGCGUAUUAGUACCUGGGGCGUGGGCCGAAACCCUAGCUCUCGACGGAUCCGGGCGGUUGAUGUCCGCUGCUCCCACGUGUCGAGGAUCCGGGCCAUGGCGGUUGGGGCCACGCCCGAGCACCCCGGGUCUCCUGUCCAGUCGUGGUGGAGGUCGGGGGGGGGGGCGUGCACAACCACCUCAACCUUGUCCCCGUGUACCGCCCCCUUUUCCUCCAGAUCAGCGCGGUCCGUGCGCACCGUCGUCUCGUCGGCGCACGUCGGAGCACCGCGCGACGAGCCAAUCACCGGCAGGCGGUCCUCGAUCCUGGCGAAAUGGCAUGGGAAGGAGACGAAGCAACCUACGUCGAUCCAUUCCCCCUCAUGCACAUAGCGUGCAUCCACCGUGCACCCGCGAGAAUCAAGGAGGACGAGCCGCUGGAUGUCGUCACGAAGGAAGAUUUCGCCGUCGUGGAACGUGGCCGUGCGGCGCACCAGAUCCGCCGCGUACGACACUCGCCACCGCGUGUCCAUCCCUCCCCAAAAUCCGGGCACACCGAUUCUAGGGCCGUCUUAUUCCCAUUGAUCAUGUAGGAAUGGAGUGUAUGGAGGUGUGCAGAUGUGAAUACAUCCACCAUGGAUUGAAUCUGAAUUCUCAAUUUAUGCACGCAAGGGAAUGUGUUUGGUAGGAAGGUAAUUUUUUAGAUGUGUUAAUAUAUACCCAUCUCGUGAGAAAUGUAGAUGUCCGUACAAAAGUCUGCUCAGUCUUAUUAUGUGUCUGGUGGUAUGUGUACCUGGAUGAGUUAUUCCUCGUAUUAGAAAAGCACAGGAAGUCAUAAAAUAUACCGACAGAAGAAGACCGUACGUUCCUGAAACAGAAUAGUCAUUUCUCUGUUAGCCAGGUUUCGUCGGUUCCAUUAUAUGUAAGCAAGAGAUGGAUUAGGAAAUCACAUCUACGAUCUAUAUAAAUGGCCGAAACUCAAGGAAAUUAGGUAACUUGUGUGUGCAGGAAAAAAACAGCCCUCACACACGUGAGUGAUACUCAAUAAAAACCUUUUUUAAGCAAAAUUACUCACUUCAGUAAGCAUUUCUUUAAACACGAUUUAUCAUGCAUACUUUUACGAAGUUAACGGGCAACUCAUACAACUAGAGCUUUUUAUAUUAUGAGAAUUGCAUUUAUUGUGUGUGGUUGUUAAUUGAUAACAAAAUGAUAGAUCAUUUUUUUCGAACCAUGCAUGAGGACUGCAUGUAAAUAUAUAGAUAGAAAGAGGAGUACAACCGGCAAAAUCAGGCACAUGUACAAAUACAGCACAAGCCAAAACAAGCAGAGAGAAAAGGAGAGGAAACUCUAGGAACAAAAACAAACUAAUCAAACUCCGCUAUAUCAGGCACAGCCAUCCCAUUUUUGCUUGCAGUGUCCCAUAUUUUAGCCUCCGUUUUGAUCUUGUCAAGAAGCCGCUGAAUCGGAGUGUGUGGCUUAUUUAUCAAAAAUCUACUGUUCUGUUCUCUCCAAAUCGACCAAACGACCAACAUAACUACAGAGUUCACAGUUUUUUCUUUAGCACCUUCCAUCCUUAGCCUUGCUCGACUCCUCCACUCUCCAAGAUCAGAGCCAACAGUAGAUCGAUAUUAAUGAGAUAUAACAUAUAAACUUGAUUCUGAGUAUUACCUUAGCAGAUUCAUUUACUUUUUUGUGAAAACCUUUAUAUUUUAUAACAUAUACUGUUUGAUAUUAAUAAGGAGAUAUCACAUCAGUAUUAACUUUUCUUCGAAUCUUAAAAGCCUUGUCUGAUGUAUGCAAUCUUGAAAACUUAUAUAUUUUGAGGAAAAAAGUAAUAUUGUCGCACACUUGUUGGCGGAGUGUAUAGAGUUGUGCGGGUGAAAAUACAUCCACCAUGGAUUGAAUCUGAAUGCUCAAUUUAUGCACGCAUGGGAAUGUGUUUGGUAGGAAGGUAAUUUCUGAGAUGUGUUAAUAAAUACCAACUCAUGAAAAAUGUAGAUGUCCAUACAAAAGUAUGUUCAGUCUUAUUAUGCAUGUGGUGAUAUGUGUACGUGGAUGAGUUAUUCCUUGUAUUAGAAAAGCACAGGACGCGGUCAUAAAAUAUACCGACAAAUGAUCGUUCCUUCUCGUAAAAGAUCUAAUCGACUCAAGGAACAGGUAAAUAUUGUGGUCACUGGGAGAAGGGUUCCUCGUUGUUAUUGGCCGUGGAGCUCAUUGUACACUAUAUAUGGGCAUAAAUGACGAUUAUAGCUCAAUAGUUCUACAUCCCUUAUGCUAUUGAAGCAAUCGCCCUUGAUCUAUCAAAGAUAGUUUUCCAUAUGACAUAUGCAACAUGUUGUGUUGUACCACAUCUAGAAUUUCUAAGUCAAAACCAAUAACAUAUACCUAGAUAUUAUGCAUGUUCGAUCUCCGAGACAACAUAUUUUGAUGCUUUGUCGUAAUCAUUAUAUUAUGUAAUUUCCUAAAUUAAUAGUGUAAUUAAUUGCCACCCAGUAUUCCGUUAUUACAGUUAGCAAUAUUGUCAUCUCAAGUUGGUAUUGCUAGAGUAAUAUGUGUAAGUUCUAAAGUUCACUUUUUAGGAGUUAGGUUGCUAUUGAAGUGAAAUUUUCUAGGUGGUGUUAGAGAAGUAUCUUGACAACUGGUUAGGAUUAACAUGACAUUUAUUGGAUAUCUAAUGAAGGCGCAUUAUGUCAGUAAUUGCUUCUAGAGGUAGUUUGGGUUCGCAGACCAUCUAUUUUAGUAACUAUGUUCGGGGCCGCCACCACGUGGAUCCUCCCACCACGUCUCCGGGGCCACCGCCCCGAAAUCCUGCACCUUUGCCCCCAUCGAAAGGAUCAGUCCCCUCAAAGCCACGCCGCGAGCUCCAACAUCCGUCUGCACCUGAGCGUCGCCACUAGGAUCUGCAUAAGCAUGAGAAGUUGAUGUCCGCGAACUCACAUGCCUGAAGAAAUGUCAUGACAACAAACUCCGCGAGCGUGACCUUCAGGUUGGGCGGCAACUCCAAACGCCUCCCCCACGGAAUUUACAGACAUUUUAGGACUCGGGAGUGUUUUGUAGCCUGGGAAUCAAAUUGGCUUCCUCGCGCGUGUGUGUUGCUUGCUCUGUUGUGUAGUUGUGCAAGACGAAGGUCUGGUGACUAGUCUGAUUGGGUAUGUGCAUGCUAUCAUGCAUGGGGCAUGUGGAGAGUUGAUUGUUGUUCUUGGAACAUGUUUGUCAUGUGCAUGUAGUGGUCGUGUCAAUACAUUUUGCGCAGGAAAUAUUUGUUGGAUUGUAAUUCAGAACUGCUCUUGCUUGCUAAAUACAUUUCUGGAAUAUCAAUUUUGUAAGAUAAUUGACUUACUUAUUAUUAUUUUCAGGUCACCAUUGGUAUAAGGAUUUUGCAUCAGUUCCAAGAGGCAUGUUUGUCGAGCUAAAAGGAUCUAUUGCUAGAAUUUCUCUAAUAUUUUGGACAUUUUAAUAUAUAUCUGCUGAAUUAGUACCCUUGUUGGGUGGAGUACAUUCACCGAAACCCGGUGUUAUAUUUAGUGCUUUUGGCUAUGAUGUAAUUGUAGACUGCAGGAUGGAUUGUUAUGCUUUUGGUUGUGAUCUAGUAUUGAGCUUUUGAAUGUACAAAUUUACACCUAUGAUCGAUUGCUGAGAUAUAUAUUAUGUCCUAGUAGAUGCAACUUUAAUUACUCUGCAUGUGUGUUGUAGAUUAUGAACAUAAGUGACGAUCAGUACCUCUAUAGUUCUAUAUCCCUUUUCUAUUGAAACCGUCACACAUUUGUAGCACA